AUUGAACGCUGGCGGCAGGCCUAACACAUGCAAGUCGAGCGGAUGAAGGGAGCUUGCUCCUGGAUUCAGCGGCGGACGGGUGAGUAAUGCCUAGGAAUCUGCCUGGUAGUGGGGGAUAACGUCCGGAAACGGGCGCUAAUACCGCAUACGUCCUGAGGGAGAAAGUGGGGGAUCUUCGGACCUCACGCUAUCAGAUGAGCCUAGGUCGGAUUAGCUAGUUGGUGGGGUAAAGGCCUACCAAGGCGACGAUCCGUAACUGGGCUGAGAGGAUGAUCAGUCACACUGGAACUGAGACACGGUCCAGACUCCUACGGGAGGCAGCAGUGGGGAAUAUUGGACAAUGGGCGAAAGCCUGAUCCAGCCAUGCCGCGUGUGUGAAGAAGGUCUUCGGAUUGUAAAGCACUUUAAGUUGGGAGGAAGGGAAGUAAGUUAAUACCUUGCUGUUUUGACGGUACCAACAGAAUAAGCACCGGCUAACUUCGUG
rnacentral:rRNA from 1 species